rnacentral:rRNA from 1 species
UCGAUGUCGGCUCAUCGCAUCCUGGGGCUGUAGUCGGUCCCAAGGGUUGGGCUGUUCGCCCAUUAAAGCGGUACGCGAGCUGGGUUCAGAACGUCGUGAGACAGUUCGGUCCCUAUCCGUCGCGGGCGCAGGAAAUUUGAGAGGAGUUGCCCUUAGUACGAGAGGACCGGGGUGAACAAACCGCUGGUGUACCAGUUGUUCCGCCAGGAGCAUCGCUGGGUAGCUAUGUUUGGAUGAGAUAAACGCUGAAAGCAUCUAAGUGUGAAACUCGCCUCGAGAUGAGAUUUCCCAUUCUUUAUGAAGUAAGACCCCUUAGAGAUGAUGAGGUAGAUAGGCUAGAAGUGGAAGUACAGUGAUGUAUGUAGCGGACUAGUACUAAUAGGUCGAGGACUUAACCAAAGUCUAGUACAGGAAUGUACAACAAGCAAGAUUAUGAGUGGUUCUCAUUUNGAGAUGGGAANCAGACGNNUUCAGCAGCUACCGCACUCAUCGCCAUGNNUUNNGC